ACCUGGCCAUGCUGCUGCUCCAGUUUCAACUGGCCUGGGCCCUAGGACCAUGUCCCAGGACUACCUGACAUGAGGACUCCUUGCUGUCCCCAGUCCACCUGGCCAUGCUGCUGCUCCAGUUUCAACUGUUCUGCCUUACUAUUAUUCAACCAUGCUGGACCUGAGCCCUAGGACCGUGCCCCAGGACUACCUGACAUGAUGGCUCCUUGCUGUCCCCAGUCCACCUGACUGUGCUGCUGCUCCAGUUUCAACUGUUCUGCCUUAUUAUUAUUCGACCAUGCUGGUCAUUUAUGAAGAUUUGAACAUCUUGGUCAUGUUCUGUUAUAAUCUCUACCCGGCACAGCCAGAAGAGGACUGGCCACCCCACAUAGCCCGGUUCCUCUCUAGGUUUCUUCCUAGGUUUUGGCCUUUCUAGGGAGUUUUUCCUAGCCACCGUGCUUUUACACCUGCAUUGUUUGCUGUUUGGGGUUUUAGGCUGGGUUUCUGUACAGCACUUUGAGAUAUCAGCUGAUGUACGAAGGGCUAUAUAAAUAAAUUUGAUUUGAUUUGAUCCA